GAUCGCGGGAGAGCCCAAUCACAGGGCGAGCUGGACCUGGCUGUGAUCAUUUAUAAUCCUUGACUCCUCCGCUCAGCCACUUGUCAAGAUGACAGGGGUCAUCCAUGAAUAACACUUCAUGCUGAUGAAUGGCUCUUGCCGGCUUUCGGCUCUGAUGAGGGGUCUGCCGGCCGCUGAUUGCAAACACUAAUGAACUUACAGCACCAUUUGAAAUUCACACGCACCAACAAAGUGAGGGGGUACGGUAGGCAUUUCGGGUCAGCUGAGUCACCCGAGGUGGUGGGAGAGCAAGACACUGCCUGGGAAGAUGGAUUCCUAGACAGAAGGGUGUAAUUAAGGAUUGCCACCCCCGGUAGGCGGCCCGCCCUUGACGGGCCUCUGAAAAUGACCUGCAUCUUUCCUUCUAGAAGUGUCCUCUUGUUGGGGACGAAAAGCGCAAAUGACCUUCGGACUCCGGCAGGGGAGGGCUGCACUGAACACUUAGACUUCCUCCCAGGUCCCAGCUCUGUCCUGUUUAGAACAAGUGUCCGCCCCCAGAUUCAAGUAGCUGGACCUCCAACCAGUAGCCACUGUCAGGGGCUACUCAACAAACCUAAAGCCCACCACCACCAGCCCCAUCCCGAUCUGUUUCUCCUUUCUUCCCUCAGAUUAUUAGCAGCACAACACCGCCCCUGCCACACUCCCUUGGCAGUGGGAGCCGAAACAACUUUACCUCCCUAAGGACACUGCCACUUUGUAAGUUUCUGCCAAAACUCUACUCCGGGAAGCUCCAGCCCCGGGCUCCGCCCCCGCCCCCACCCUCACCCCUAGCUGCGGAAAGCCCACCCGGGGAGCCAUUUUUCACUGCCCAAAAGCUCCUGCCCUUUGAGUUUUGGAACUCCAAACUUAGAACCUUUACAGAAUCGCGCUCUGGCUUCCUGCCUCCAGCCACCUCCAGGCUUCUUUCUG
ensembl:processed_transcript Gm19744 predicted gene, 19744